rnacentral:rRNA from 1 species
CCGUAGGGUGAACCUGCGGAGGGAUCAUUACACAAAUAUGAAGGCGGGCUGGAACCUCUCGGGGUUACAGCCUUGCUGAAUUAUUCACCCUUGUCUUUUGCGUACUUCUUGUUUCCUUGGUGGGUUCGCCCACCACUAGGACAAACAUAAACCUUUUGUAAUUGCAAUCAGCGUCAGUAACAAAUUAAUAAUUACAACUUUCAACAACGGAUCUCUUGGUUCUGGCAUCGAUGAAGAACGCAGCGAAAUGCGAUAAGUAGUGUGAAUUGCAGAAUUCAGUGAAUCAUCGAAUCUUUGAACGCACAUUGCGCCCUUUGGUAUUCCAAAGGGCAUGCCUGUUCGAGCGUCAUUUGUACCCUCAAGCUUUGCUUGGUGUUGGGCGUCUUGUCUCUAGCUUUGCUGGAGACUCGCCUUAAAGUAAUUGGCAGCCGGCCUACUGGUUUCGGAGCGCAGCACAAGUCGCACUCUCUAUCAGCAAAGGUCUAGCAUCCAUUAAGCCUUUUUUUCAACUUUUGACCUCGGAUCAGGUAGGGAUACCCGCUGAACUUAAGCAUAUCAAUAAGCGGAGG